rnacentral:tRNA from 1 species
AAGGGAGACCUAAUUCCGGUAGGAGACGAAAAAAAAGUAGUCCCAACCAAGAAUCAAUCCCAAAAGGUCGGAACGAGGUAUGAGGCUUUCAAACUAGGUUCUGGGUUCAUAAAAGACCUGAAUCAGGAACAAGGGCUAUUAGCUCAGGUGGUUAGAGCGCACCCCUGAUAAGGGUGAGGUCCCUGGUUCGAGUCCAGGAUGGCCCACCUGCACAGGUGGCAAAAACAAGAGAAGCUCAGAAUCAGCACCUUAUCUUAUAUACAUAUAUAAGAGAGAAUGCUGGCUCUGAGUACAGAGUCCAGAGGAACCUUGAAAACUGCAUAGAGCUAGGUGAAAAAGCCAAAAAAGAAGACCGCAA